CCUGACCGAGCACGCCGCGUGAGUGAAGAAGGUUUUCGGAUCGUAAAGCUCUGUUGUAAGAGAAGAACGUGUGUGAGAGUGGAAAGUUCACACAGUGACGGUAACUUACCAGAAAGGGACGGCUAACUACGUGCCAGCAGCCGCGGUA
rnacentral:rRNA from 1 species